ACUAGAUUCUGAGAGGUAAAUGUAUUAGGUUAUUUUAAGUUUUUCAGAAUGACUAAGGGGAGAAGGGGCGGGGUCAAAAAAGAAAAAUAAAAGUUUUCCUAAAAUACAUCAAUUUCAAAUACUAAAAUAAUUUUUAGUAAAUUGAACAACUUUAAAUUUCAAAAUUUAUGCUAUAAAAAUAUUAGAACAACAGAACACCUUACCCUGGUACAACUAGGAUUAAAAUCAUCUCAUAUUUAUUUCUAAUCAUGUCACUGUAUUGCUACUGUUUUCUGGACUGAAAGUAAAUGAUUUAUUCACAGUAGUGUGACACAAUUAUGUAUGAUUGAUUGGUAUGAAAUAGAAAGGGACUUUGUCCUCAGCCAAAGCUAGGAACUGGGCCUGUCCUAUGUACACUGUCUGUCCAUCUGCAGCUAGCCAGCUGAAUGACUGCUUGCCCUUUUGAUUCCAUUCAAAAUAAUGCAAUGACCUCAACCUUACCAGACUUUUCACAAUCUCAUCACGAUUUUUAAAUUCCAAGAAGAAACAAGCAGAAACAAAAUCAUAUACAAGAACCCAUAAAGUUCCGAGCUUGGACUGCUGUUAUGGCACAGAAUCAAGCUGCCGCUUGCAACGCCUGCAUGCUGUAUCAGAGUGCUAGUUUGAGUCUUGGCUGCUCUGCUUCUGAUCCUGCUCCCUGCUAAUACACCUGGGAAGGCAGUGGAAGAUGGCCCAAGGACUUGGAACCCUUCCACCUCUGUGGGAGAUCCAGAUGGAGUUCCUGGCU